UGGGGAAUAUUGGACAAUGGGGGCAACCCUGAUCCAGCCAUGCCGCGUGUGUGAAGAAGGCCUUUUGGUUGUAAAGCACUUUAAGCAGUGAAGAAGACCUAACGGUUAAUACCCGUUAGCGAUGACAUUAGCUGCAGAAUAAGCACCGGCUAACUCUGUGCCAGCAGCCGCGGUAAUACAGAGGGUGCAAGCGUUAAUCGGAAUUACUGGGCGUAAAGCGAGCGUAGGUGGCUUGAUAAGUCAGAUGUGAAAUCCCCGGGCUUAACCUGGGAACUGCAUCUGAUACUGUUAGGCUAGAAUAGGUGAGAGGAAGGUAGAAUUCCAGGUGUAGCGGUGAAAUGCGUAGAGAU
rnacentral:rRNA from 1 species